rnacentral:rRNA from 1 species
UGCAAGUCGAGGGGUAGAAGAGAGCUUGCUUUCUUUGAGACCGGCAAACGGGUGCGGAACACGUACGCAACCUCCCCAUAACUGGUGAAUAGCCCUUCGAAAGGAGGAUUAAUACACCGUAAUAUAAUGAAGUGGCAUCACUUUAUUAUCAUAGGCUUCGGCCGGUUUUGGAUGGGCGUGCGCCUGAUUAGGUAGUUGGUGAGGUAACGGCUCACCAAGCCUUCGAUCAGUAACUGGUGUGAGAGCACGACCAGUCACACGGGCACUGAGACACGGGCCCGACUCCUACGGGAGGCAGCAGUAAGGAAUAUUGGUCAAUGGACGAAAGUCUGAACCAGCCAUGCCGCGUGAAGGAUUAAGGCCCUCUGGGUUGUAAACUUCUUUUAUCUGGGACGAAAAAAGGGUAUUCUUACUCUCUUGACGGUAUCAGAGGAAUAAGCACCGGCUAACUCCGUGCCAGCAGCCGCGGUAAUACGGAGGGUGCAAGCGUUAUCCGGAUUUACUGGGUUUAAAGGGUGCGUAGGUGGAUUUGUAAGUCAGUGGUGAAAUCUCCGAGCUUAACUCGGAAACUGCCAUUGAUACUAUAGAUCUUGAAUUAUCUGGAGGUAAGCGGAAUAUGUCAUGUAGCGGUGAAAUGCUUAGAUAUGACAUAGAACACCAAUUGCGAAGGCAGCUUACUACGGAUCGAUUGACACUGAGGCACGAAAGCGUGGGGAUCAAACAGGAUUAGAUACCCUGGUAGUCCACGCCCUAAACGAUGGAUACUCGACAUUUGCGAUAUACUGUAAGUGUCUGAGCGAAAGCAUUAAGUAUCCCACCUGGGAAGUACGAUCGCAAGAUUGAAACUCAAAGGAAUUGACGGGGGUCC